rnacentral:rRNA from 1 species
GGUUAAGUUAGAAAGGGCGCACGGUGGAUGCCUUGGCACUAGGAGCCGAAGAAGGACGGGACUAACACCGAUAUGCUUUGGGGAGCUGUACGUAAGCGUUGAUCCAGAGAUUUCCGAAUGGGGGAACCCACUAUCUUUAGUCGGAUAGUAUCCUUACGUGAAUACAUAGCGUGAGGAAGGCAGACCCAGGGAACUGAAACAUCUAAGUACCUGGAGGAAGAGAAAGAAAAAUCGAUUUCCUGAGUAGCGGCGAGCGAAACGGAAAGAGCCCAAACCAAGAAGCUUGCUUCUUGGGGUUGUAGGACACUCUAUACGGAGUUACAAAAGAAAGUUAUAAAUGAAGCGGUCUGGAAAGGCCCGCCAAAGACGGUAACAGCCCGGUAGUUGAAAUGGCUUUCCCUCCAGAGUGGAUCCUGAGUACGGCGGAACACGUGAAAUUCCGUCGGAAUCCGGGAGGACCAUCUCCCAAGGCUAAAUACUCCCUAGUGACCGAUAGUGAACCAGUACCGUGAGGGAAAGGUGAAAAGCACCCCGGAAGGGGAGUGA